rnacentral:lncRNA from 1 species
UCCUCACCGAACACAAAACAGAAAUCAAAUCUUCUUCUUCUUCUUCUUCUUUUUCUCAAACUCUUUCUCUCAUAAUCCCAAUGGCUUCAAGAAGCUUCCUCGUUCUUCUUCUAGUGCUCGCUUUGGUAGCCUCUUCCGCUACGGCAGGGCAUCAUCAUUCACACCCCAAGUCCCCGGCCCCUGCACCUUCUCCAGCCGUUGUGGAAGCUCCGUCGGUUCCGCCGUCUUCGAUUUCCGGGACUCCUGUUGAGGCGCCUGCUCCGGCAGCAAACGGCGCUGGUCUUGUUUCUGGAUCAAUGGCUGUUAGUGUUGGGAUCUUUUUUGCUGCUGCUUUGUUUGUUUAGAUUCUUUUUUCUUGACUAAUAUUGGUUUUUGUUUACGACGAUGGAAUUUAGUUAUUUGUUUUAUCAUAUUUAUUUGAUUUUAUUGGUUUAUAUCACAGUUUGAUUAUGAGUAUCAGAUUUAAUUCUGUGUUUAUUUUGGUUUUGUUCAAUUUAUUUAGUUAUAUAGAUUGCUCAAACUUUCCAUUUAACUGCUGAGGAUGAAAGUACACCAAAAUGGAAAAGAAGUAUCAUUAAAAUUAUAAUCCCAUCCCUCAAUAGCAAGUUUUCUGCUUAGUUUUGUAGCAUCAAUCCAUCCACAUUUAUGUGAAUGCUUAUCAUUGAUUGAUAUUCUAUCAAGUCUAAUUAAGUUGGCACGUUUUUUGCUAAAUCCAAAUUCAAGCAACUAAAAAGCAUACCAUUUUGGCCACAACAUCGAAGUACACUUAGGAUUAUAAGUGUUGACGGUUUUUGAUUAGGUUUGAAGGUGAAAUCUCGAGUGAAAAAGGGGAUAUGAAACUGACCUUUUUGGCCUAAAUCCAUGAAACCCAUCUGAGAAAUGGAUCAUUUGCUGAAGAGACAUUUGGUUGCGGUUUGGUGAUAUUUGAUUCGGUUUUCAAAUAUAUUACAUAAAUUUUUUCAUAAUACUCGUACACAAAUUAAUUAGUCUAUGGAAUAAGUUUUGGUGAAAUUCAUUUCAUAAAACUCAUAUUACAUAAUAAAUAAGAAAAUAGUUCAUUGAUUAUGUAACAAAGUAUUUAUGUAUGAACACUACACAACAGCUGAUCAAAUUAUUCCAACAAUUAUUUGAAAUUGAUUGUAGUAUUUUACAUAUUCCUUUUUUGCAUUUAGUCCAAAUAAAAAGGUAAGCAAUAAUAUAGUAUGAGUUGGAUUCUUUUGGAUAUAUAUUUAUGUAAUUUUGUUUGUGUAGGUGGACUUCUCAUAUCAUAUAUAUAUAUAAUUCAUUUUUGUAUCAUAUAACGAACUUAGAGGAUGAAUGUCCAUUUUGUUGUACAUACGAUAAUAUAAAUCUUGACAUUAUUUUUUUGUAAUUGAAACAUUUUUAACUGUUUAACUUAAAAGAUAAACCAUUUAAAAAAAAACUUAAUUUUUGAUAAUUACUCAAAAUUACGCCAAACAUACAAUAUAAAAUAGGAGUUUUUGAAUUUCUUUAUUCUCUAAUCAACUUAAUUGAUCCAAAUGGCCCUAAGUUGUUUUAAUAUUUAAUAUUUAAUAUUAAUAUAAAGUUUUUUUAUAAAAAAAAUUUGAACAAAACCAUUAAAACAAUUAUAGGUUCAUUUUAUUGAAACCAUUGGCAGCCAAAUUUGCUGUAAAAUGGAAAGCCCAAAUUCCUUAAAUAUAAACCAAUGUUGUAUAUAUGCAAAGAAAUUUUGGACAUAUAACAAUCACAUUAAUUACAAUUCAAAAAAGGGAAAAUACAACCACAUUUCAGAAGAAAAAAAAAAUCUAAAAUCAUAAAGUUAGAUUUGUAAAUAAAUCUUUGUAGAUAUUCAACCACUAAAUUUAUGCUUUUAGAAUUUGUCCCCCAAGAUUUCUUUCUAUAUAUGUACACAUGAUUUUGUUCAAUAUGUAAUUGAAAAGAUUCAAUUAUAGAAAGAUUUUCUAAUAAACCUUAGAAAUUUUGCUUUAUAUAUAUAUAUAUAUAAUUUAAAAUUAUUUGGAGGUAGAAAUUCAAAUAAUUAAGAGAGGUUAGAUUUGAAAAUGUGAUUGAAAAUACAUAACUAAAUUGAAUAAUUUGAUUUGGGAUUAAUUUUUUAUAUAGAUGAUUUUCAGCAACCAAAAAUAAAUAUGAAGUGAAUGAAAUUAAAAUAGAGAAAGUAAUUGAUGGAUAAAAUGAACAAAAUAAUGUAAAAUGAAGAACAAUUUGAAUUCAAACAUUGAUAACAUAUUUAAACAAAAGAAACUCUAAAGUGAUAAUAAUAAACCAUCAAAGGAGAGCAGCAGCAGCCAUUGCUCCAAUAGCCACCGAUCCUACCAUCGAGAAGCUGUUCUUAAACCCAUCACUCUUUGCUUUCGACGGCGACAGUGCUUCCGAAGGCGGUUCGGCAAUCCACGUCGGAGACGGAGAAGGGGAAUCUGGUUGUGCAGUUGGUGGCUCAUCGUGAUGGGCCGGCGGCGGAACUGAAGUAGGCGACGGCGGUGGAGUACUGGGCUCGGUUUCAUGGGACGGCGUUGGUGGUUGGGUAGGAGGCUUGGUGAUGGGAGCCCAUCUCCAGGGAGGGGAAAGGGAGGCAGGAGGAGUGGGCGACGGGGACGGGGACGGGGAUAUGGCAGCGGCGGAGAAGAGCAGCGCUGCCGCUAAGAGGGCGUUGAGAAGGAGAGAGUGAGGCAUUGUAAUUGAGAAGGGGAUUGGUUUUGUUUAUGAUGGAGAAUUAAGACAAUAAUAUUCAUAUAAAUAGGAGAAAUGUUUGGGUAAAUUUAAAUUAAUAUUGAUAAUUUUUUUGGUAAUUUAUGUAAAUUUGGUAAUUAUUGUGGUGUAAGAUAAAAGUUUUCCAUCUAUAUAUUUAUAUAUAUCAAAUACGCAAACUAAAAUAUCCCGUUGAUUUACCAUUUACUCGGUGUGUAGAGACUAAAAUUAAAAAAAAUGAAUCGAAGUAUAUGAACAAAAACGAGAUUUUAACUUAUAUUAGAAAUUGUAAAAAUAAAACAUUUUUCAAAAUAUUUACACUUAAAAAAUAUUUCAAUCUCUCUACAUUUUACAUUUAUCGAAAAAGUUUUAUCAUAUAACUCUAUCAAUUAAGAAAUUAACUCUAGUUACAAGUAGAUUAAGUAACGUACUCCUAAACUUUAAAUCAAGGUGUUGAUAAUGAAUAAUCAAAGUAUGAAUAAAGUGUACAGUGGGUAUCAUAUUGAACCGUUACGCUCUAUUUUCGAAGUAUUUGGAACUGUUGGAUUGGUUGGAAUUUGAAGUAUUAUUCUUAUUUGAAUUACAAUUCAUACUAUUAACUCGUCGCAUGUUCAUUGAGUAUUCAAAUAAUAAAUAAACAAACAAAACUCAUUUAGAAGGUAACUAUUUUUUUUCUUUUCACCUUUUCCAUUUUUCUUAAGAUCGGUUUCGAUUUAAUUCAAUCCAAUUCUUAAUAAGUGAAAAUUUGAACCAUAGAUCUCUUAAUACAUACUUUAUUUCAGUUGAGUUAAGUUCAAAGUAGAUCCAUUUUAACAAUAAUCUUUCAACUUUAUUGAAUAUUAUACCUUAAACUAAAACAAGUAUUUCUUUUACGAUAAAAUAUGUGUUGAAAGUUGAAUGAAAUGAAAGAGUAGCCCAAAGACGAUUUGGUAAUUUUGCUUCUCUUUAAUUCAAUUGGUGAUUAAAACUCGACUGAGUGUUUGCAUUUGACAUAUCAUUGAAGUAGAUGACUCACUCACACCAUUUAGAUAUACACCAAUAGUUGAGGAAGUUUAUUACAUCGUUAUUCAUGUUAUCUCAUUAUUUGUGUUAACUUAUAUUUCUCGUAAGAUAACUACAGCCGAUAUUCACGGAAAGUAAUUUGUUUGAGGAGCUUUCUCACCCGAAACAACUUUAUCUCCCUCCCUUUAUAUCCCCCACUCCCAUACACAUCUCUCACAAAACUCCCUUCCAACUUCACAACCUCUCUCUCUCUCCACAUCCAUCAAUGGCUUCCCUCCCCAUCACACUUAUGGCACUAACGGCCCUAUUCCUCAUCACCUCCACCUUCGCUCAGUCUCCAGCCCCGUCGCCCAAGAAAUCACACCACCCCCACUCCCACUCUCCCUCUCCCCAUAAUUCCCCUAUCCUUUCUCACAAAUCGGUGUCUUCACCUUCGCCUUCACCGUCGCCUUCUCCAGUCGCUUCUUCCUCACUCCCUCCGGCCAAUGCUCUUGCUCCUGCUCUUCUCUUUAAUGAUGCUAUUACCAACACUUUCGCUGUCUCGGCUUCUCUCUUCACCGCCGUCUCCGCCGCUGCUUUCCUCUUCUAGAUCUCCACUCCUUCUCCUUUCUAUGUGCUAAUUACACAUUUCUCUAUUCCCUCUUUUUAAAUAUUUUUGCUCGCAUAGUUUCUAAGGCAUGGUGGAGUUUUGAGUUUGUAAAACAUUUUCUUCCUUAUUUGAAUUUAUCAUAUAAACUUUAUUUCUAUUUAUUCUGAUUAACUCAUAUCGAUUUGAAUUUUUUAGUCGUGUUUGCUCCAAUGAAAACGUAAUACAUCAAUAGUAUUAAGAAGAGUAAACCCUAUUUGAUUACUUGACAUCCGAAGCACAUCUUACAUGGUAUAUUACUAAUAUUGUCAUGAUCAUUACUCUUAAGACCUUUCACCUAAAAGAUUAUCAAUUUCACAUCGUUAUCGCUAUCGUUACCACUUGAUCUUCGAAAGUAAAGAUAAAAAACGACUAUAACAGUGAAUUUUCAUAAGUGAAUAAAAUAAAUAAAUUACAUUUGUGAUACAAAAUCGUUCCAACUAAUCCAUUUAAUAAAAAUACCAUAAUGAUUAAUAUACUAAUUUUCAUUAUUAACUUGAUAAACUUGAAUUUCCCCCCUACAGUUUGUGGGUAGAGAGGCAGAUUCUUCAUUCACAUAAUAAUUAUAAUCAUCACAUAAAAGUUGUUUCUUUUUUUCCUUUAAUUUUAUGUAGUUUGACAAAGUCUAAAAUGAAUUCAAACUCACAUAUUUAAAUUUCAAAUGGGUAUUAAACAGCAGAAUGGAAAAACAAACAUAUGUUAAAAAGUUGAUAAAAUUGAAAAAGAAGUUUUUUACCAAAAUUUUAUCUAUUAUUGUCCUUCAGAUCUAAAAUUAUUUGAGAUCCAAAAGAAUUAUGUUCAGAUCUAAAAGGGAACAAGAGGUGGGGUUAGGGGAGAGGGAGGAGACCCCAAGGCAUGGAGACUGGGCACACGAACCUGAGAAAAAAUAUCAACCAAUUGAGACUUCAUCUUUCUUUUAGUACGAUCAAACCGAGAGAUUUGAACCACAAAUUUAUUUAGUUAUUAACUAUCUAUGGAUGCUAGCCGAGCUAGGUUUCUUUUGAGUUAAAUUAGCUUGAUCAAUACAAUAGAUCAACACCUCAAACUGAAACAUAUUUUUAUAAAAUCGUGCUUGUAUUUGUGUGUGCAACUUACUCAAUCUAGAAAUACACAAUUGUUGGCAUUCAAUAAAAAUUUACUUUUGGUUUUUUGGGUUUGAAGUUGAUGUCUAUUUGGUUUUUGAAGUUUCAAAAGAUGCAUGUUGAUCCCUCAUGUUUAUAAAAUAAUUUUGAAUGGUUCAUAACUUAACUUUAUAAAUAGAAAUAUAUUGAUUGUGCCGUUAACUCACCUUGCGUUAUCUGGUUAUUGGCCAUGUCUUUUUCUUUUUAAUAUUUAUGAGUGUUUAACCCAACUAACAUGCAACUCAUUUAAUUUUAUGGGAUAAUAUGUCUAACUCUACAACAUUUAAGUGUCAAGAAAACCCGUUCAAUAUUAAAAUAAUCUUUAUAUAGUAGUUGGCCAUCAUAUACCGAAAUCCAUAUUUCCCUAUCCGUGAUGAUCACCUAUCUAAGAUUUAAUAUCUACUAAUUGUAGCGUGUCUUUAUCUACCAUUCACACUUUUAGUAGAUAUAUAUUGGACAUUUGAAAAUAGGUACUAUUUUAAUAAUAUAUACAUAUAUAUAUAUAUAUAUUGAUCCGACAUUUGAAUGCUUUGUCACUUGUUUGCUCUAAUCUGCCUUAUUUCUUCUUUAUUCGGUUCGUUCGUAUCUAUCUUCGACUUAUCUACUUUUAGUUUCCACUCUUCCACCUACGAUAAAAAAGAGACAAGAACACAUAAGUUUGUUUCUAAAAUUCGAAAUUUGACAAUUUUCAAUAAAUUUUCAGCGAUGAAAGAUGACUCGGUUGGUGAAACCUCGUGGAUGAAACACGAAAAAAGAAAUGAAAUUAGAUAGAGAGAUAUAUACAAACCUUGUGGAGGAUAUCUUGUGUUAGGUGAGCAUCAUGGGCAAUUUCCUUAGAAUAACUUUCUACAACUUCAGCUGCCUCUUUCAGCUUACUCUUCUCAGGAAGUUUCUCACAAAUUUUUGUUGAUACUUUCUCUGUUAGUUCUGCUACCUUUUCUACUACUUCUGCUACAUUUUCCGCCUCUUCGAUCACCAUUUCCGCUUCAUCUAAACGUUCGAUGUCAAUCACACAUAUCAACUUAUUAGUUUCAUGUCGACAAAAGCAUUAAUCAUAAAAAUAUAUUUUUACAAUUUAGCAGUUGAGUUUUCUGUUUCUUUAAUACUAUACUAACCUAUCGACUAUAAUCGAUAAAUAUAACAUUUUUUUUUUCAAGACAAGGUGACUAUUGAUUAUUAAGAAAUUUUAAUAUCCUAGUUUUAAAAAUUUAAAUCGAUAAAUAUCACAUUCACGUGUUGAUUUAUAUGUUUUGUUGUUAGAUUUUAAAAGUGUUUUUCAAAAUCAAAACCGUAAACGAAAAAAAGAACGAGGAGUUUUAAAAAAACUUGUUUUAAUUUUUAGAAAUUGACUAAAAUUUCAAAUGUUUAUAUUGGAAUAUAACAAUUACAAUUUUUAAAAAUAAAAUAGUUACCAAAAUUGGAUUUAGUUUUUUAAAUUUUCUUUGUCCAAACAUUACUUUCACCCAAUUUCUAAUAAUUUUUUUUAAAAUUAAAAAAAGGUAAUUUCAAAAUUGAAAAACAACCAUAUCCCAAAUAUAUUAUUUAAAUUGAAAUAAUAAUAAUAAUAAUACCAAAAAUAAUUAGAAAAUACAUAACAAUAUUUUUAAAAAUAACAAAAUAAAUUAAAAUAUUUAUAAGCAAUACAAAAUUUUAGAUUCAAUAACGAUAAAAACUGAUAGGAUUCUAUUAAUGUUACUGAUAAAUAUUGAUAGAAUUUGAAAAUUUAGCUGAUAAAUUUUUUUGUCAAAUUUACUAUUUUUUUUUUUACAAUUGCUGAAAUAAUAUACCUUCAAUUCUUUGCAAUUUAUUCCAAUUGGGUACCAAUAGGGACAAUAGGGCUCCAAAAAUCCACUUUGCCCUAAAUUCAUUCAAUCAAUGAAGAAUAAAUAAUGACUAAAAUUGUGAUAAAAUAUAAAAAUAAAAAAUAAUUGAAGAUUAGAAUUUUGAAUAUAUAUUGUUUUUGAGUUAAUUACCAAUUAGGAGGGACGAAGAAGAAAAAAGUUGAUAUUGAUGGCCGAUCUUCAUCUUUACUUUCCUCUUUCUCUCGUCUCAUCCUAUAUCCAUUAUUCAAAUUCAAAACCAAAAGGAAGGAUUAUAUUAGACUCUUCAAAUAUCAAAUAUUUUGCAAAAUAUUAUCACAUCUAAAAUACUAACCAGCUGGGACGACAACAGUAGGAUCUGAGUAGGGAUGACAUAUAAGUUGUGGAUCCAAAUGGGACCAUGGCGACCGAGGAGGAGGAGGAGGAGGAGGAGGCCUGCAGAGGUUCGGAUACCCGACGACGACGAUAUGUCGAGGAAGAGUCGUCUGUCUUACGAAAGAGUUGAAGAAGCAAGGUUCUCCAAUGACCAAACUUGGACGACAUGUCUGAACACAGAGACGACCUCUCAAAGUUAUACUGAUGAUAUCUAAAGAUGAUCACAGAAAGAAGUAAAACUAAAACCUUAAUACUAUUGAAGAAGUGGGGGAGUUUUGUGAUGAUGAUGAUGAAUUAAUAAUCAAUACAAAAGGGAUUCUUGUUGCUUACAAGUUUUGAUCUUAUUUCAUUGCUUUUUGGGUUAUCUCUCUUUUGGUGGUUACUUCAAAGUAUUGAAUGUGUUAGCUUUUAAGUGUGUAUUUCUUUCAUGACUUGAUCUUUGAAUUUGCCCCCCCAAAACCUACUUUUUCUUUUCUAUCUUCAACUAAUAUUUGUGUUUGAAUACCAAGAAAUUUGAAGGAAUAAGCCAUUGAAUCUUAGCUUCAAUCUUAGCUUUACUUGGUAGAAAAAAUUGAAGGUUCGUUUGGAUUGACUUUCUAAAAGCAUAUAUAGAAUGUAUCGAAAUGAAUUAUGCAUCUCUACUAGUUUCUAAAGGUUAAAAUAUAUAUAUCGUUGUUAUUCUUAUACUUUAAAGUUUGUUUAAUUUAGUUUCUGAAACUUUCAAUAAAUCUUAAAUUUAGUCUCUACUACUUUAAGAACAUAUUCACAUAUUUUGUUUUCCUACGUGAAAAUGUUUAAAAUUUACUAAAAGUACAAAAAUAAUUAAAAUUGAACAAAUUUCAAAGUACAAAGUAAUGCUACUGAAAUGGUAUUUCAACCAAAAAGUGAAUUUGUAAAUUGAUUAGAUAAGCAUGUGAAGACAAUAAUGAAUCAUAUAUAAGAACCAAACCAAUGUUGUGUAAGAAAAGGUUUGAACGAACAUAGUAUCGGAAGAGACAACUAAUAGAAAGAAAAUAUAUUUGUAGUUUCCAUUGAGGGAAAUGAACAAAAAAUAUGAUCCCACCUUUGAUCUUAAUGCACACAACCUACUUGAUGGGGCACACCAAACUAAUAAAUUUUAUCUUACAUCGACAUAUUACCAAUCACUUGUAAUUUUGAAACGAAAUUGUUAAAGAUUAAAUGCCAAGAAAAUUUAAUUAUGGUAACACCAAAGUGUUGCCAUAGUUCUUCCGACAACUCUAAUGAAUGGUGCAAAAAUUGGAAAAUGAAUAUCAAACGAUCCAAUUUUUUAAUAAAAUGUUGAGUAACCCUUUGUUGACGUCAAAUUCGAGUGAAGUUCCCAAAAUACGCUUGCACAAUACCGUAACUUCGUACAAUCAUGACAUCAACAAAGGAACAUUUCACUAUCUUUUAAAAAAUUGGAUCAUUUGCCAUUUUAGACCUUGAAAAUAGGCCAUCGUUCUUCAGCUCUUAGCAUAUAAACUCAACUCAAAAUGUUCAAAUUAGGAAAAGCUUGAACAAAAGAUGAACCAUAACUCUCAUUCCAUAUCAAUUAUAAUACAGAAUGCCUGUUUAUGCAAGUAAAACCAACAAUAACAAUAAGUGGGAAAAGAGUUGUAUAACUAUCAUAACUUGUAUACAACAUACAUAAGAGGUGUUCCAAAAGAAGAUAAUAGAGUGACAUUAACUUACCCAAUAAUAUUAGGGCUAAACUAAACAUGAUCCUCAAUAAUAAUUAAUCAAAUCUAUUUCCUUAAGACAACUAGUAAUGAAGAUUAUAACUGUUUCCUUUUCUUUACCAAAUGAUGAUUAUUUCUUUGAAAGUUCAAGAUUGCCCACAGAAAAUACCAAAAAUUAAUUUCUGGCCAAAGGGCGGAAGGAGAAUACAAAUAACAUGAAGAUGUCUGCCACAAAAGGAAAUUGCUCAAGCGGGCCUCUCCCGAUGUGCGAAUUAAUAUAUCGGGGUCGGGAGUAGCGGCUGUAUACAUAUGCUUCUCAACAUCAGCUAAUGUUAUGGAGUUGUCACCAUUGUUAGCCACACCUAAUUUGCCAAAACCAUAUCCUACUCCAUUUGCAGUUUUUGAAUUCAUCUCAUUCCAUUUCUCUUCACAAGACCUUUCAACGGCAUGAACAAUUUCAUCAGUGGAAGUGUAAGCAAUACAGAUGGAAAGUUCUGCUUUGUUAUUGUUUCUAGUGGCUUCCAUAGCUCUUUCAAUUGCAUCCCUCACAGGUGCACUUAAUAAUCUUAAGUUUCCUAUAAAACGAAGUCUAACUCCAUAUUGAUUCACAAGGCUUUCUUCUCUAAUCAAUAAUUCAACUUUUUCCAACAUCAGAUCCAUCACACCUUGAACUUCUUCUGGACUUCUUCUAAAAUUAUCAAUGCUGAAGGCAUAAAUAGUUACAUACUUCACACCCAAUUCAUAGCAGUAUUUGAGCAUGAAUGUCAAAGCCAAAUACCCAAUCCUAUGGCCAGCUCCUUCAGCCAGCUUUUUUUUCUUUGCAUAUCUCCUAUUCCCAUCCAUUAUAAAAGCAACAUGAGCAGGAAUCGAACCCAUCGAUAGAACUACGAAAAGGAAUCUCCUAAAUAAACUAAUAACAUGUUCAAAGAUUUGAUUAAAUGUAACCCAAAAAUUCGUACACACAUCUCCAACUCCCAUUCUGUUUUGAUUGCUCUAUGUGUAGCACACCAAGACGCCUGUCAAUGAAGCCAACAUUUAUUAAAUAGAAAACAACAAAACCUUAAUUUCAGUCAUAUCUACAGUUUAAUUUUCGAAAUUUGGGGAACAAAUUAUCCCCAAUAGGACAGAGCUCCCCAUAGAAGACAACCCCAUCAACCCAUUUAAUCCCAACCAAGUAAGGGAAAAAGAAAUCCCACCAAUUCUAUUAAAAAGAAUAGAGGUAAAGGCCUAGUUCAAGUAAAGAUGGCGACGUGAGUGGUUGGGGUGAGCAUGAUAGAUCAAAGGUCAACCAACCGAUGUUGAUAUAUAGUACUCCAACAGAUUGAUGCUAGCCCCCAAUGGUGGUCAUAAAAUAUCGAAAAAGGAUCAGAAAACAACAAGAAAUAUAUAAUCUAUCAGUAAAAUAACAAUAUACGUGAUCAACAAAACAUAAUGUAGGGUGUUGAAGUGGGGAGAAGAUAAUUGAAGAAUAAAAAUCAGGAAAGAGAGGAAAAGAUAAAUAGUUGGAGUUAAAAUGUGGAGUGAAGAAGAUAGGUGAGCGCAUUGAAGAGUGUAUUGGAGUUAGGAACAGUGUCAUGAGAUAUAUAUAGGAAUUUAGAUGUUGAAAGAAAGAAGAAAAGCAGAGAGAAAGGAAAGAGCAAAAACGUGUACCCUAACUAAUUCCGUUAACACAAAAUCCAAUUUAGGGCGAAAGCUUCGCGUGAGUAAUAAAGGAGUUUUCUCACAGAUACUCCAUUUCAAAGCCCAAAUAAAAAAAAAUAACCCUUUUGUUUAGUACUAACAAAUGCAAUAGUCGAAAUAAGAUAUCCAACCUCCCCACUUCUAAAGAGGAAGAACAUAUCUAUAUCAGCUAAGCUCGAUUGGGCUUUUAAAGACUAAAAAAAUAUCAUUGAAUUUUGUAUUUUGUAUCAAUGGGUAUCCAAGAAACUUCCUAAAAGUACUUAAAAACACAAAAUCUUACCCCCCCAGAAAACCAAAACUCCGACAACUUGCAAGAGGGCCGGGCGAUGACGGCAGAGGGCGGAGGUGCGAGUCUGUUCGCGGAACCAACAGGAAGAAACGCGCAAUAGAACGAACUCGCAAUUGGCGAUGAUUGCAGCGAACGAGGGUGAGGGUCAGGAGUGUUGAGCAGAAAUCAGCGGGGAACUUGCUAGAAAUCGAAGACAACCGGGGGAAGAAGGACGCGGGAGACGACUCGAGUGGAGGGAGGGAGGGAGGGUUUUGGAAAUAAUAAAGGUUUCAUAUGCAAUCAAUUUAAUGGUUAAAUUUAAUCAAAGAUAAGAUUUGAUUUCAAUUUUUUAAAGAGAGGAAUUUUGGUAAAUUUAAGAAUAGGCAAAAGAAAAGGAAUAGAUUAUUAGAGAAAAUGUUUUGGUUGAAUUUUGAUUUUAUAAUCGAACUUCACAUUGACAAUUGUCAAAUUCGUGAUAGAUCACAAAUUGAGAUCAACGAUGUGAAUUAAUAAACUCAAAUAAUCAAUCAAAAGAAUAAAGAGAUAUGCUCUUUGUGUGUGUUCAUGGGAUGUGGCUUUUUCUUUUUUAAUCAACUUUUUGAGUAUUUAUUUAAAUUUUAUGUUGGUAUCUAAAUUUUGUAUCUGGCUUUGUUCUGAUUGAUAAACUUUUUCAAAUUUGUGUUUUAGUAUAUGAAUUUUUAGAAAGAAUGAGUUAGCUAUUGAAUGACUUCUGUAUUUGGAUAAAUUAGUCUUUAAAUUCAUAAUAUUAUUUUAUAGAGUUUAUUUUUGAAUGUGUUGAUUAUGUUUUUGUAUUAACAUAAGAUAUUUAUAGAAUAAAUUAGUAAAAUUUCUUGAUUACAAAUCAAUUUAAUUAAUAUGACAUCCAAUCCAAAAAUUUCACGCAUAACAUAAGGUUGAAAAUGAUUAAAGUUGUGCAAAAUAGAAAUCAAAAUAAGAUUUAAACAUAUAUUUUUCAUACUUUUAAAAGUUCACAUGAAAUACUAUCUGUUUCCAUUCAAAACUAAUGAAUUUAAAAAAAUUGAAAAGUUUUAUGCAUGUUAAUUAAAUUUUUAAAUACUCAAAUAUUUUGUUACAUAAUAUAAAGUUUGAAAGUAUUUUGUAUAGUUUAGUAUUUUAAAAAAUAAAUUAUAUAUAACAUAACAAUAUAUGUUUUUGGUCCUUAGAUUCCAAAAUAGACUUUAAAUUUUAAAAUUUAAUUUCAGUUUAGUAAUUAUAUAUUUCAUCAUUCAAAAUUUGAGUUUUGCUCCUUCGAGUCUCAAUAUUUAUAUUUUUAACUUCAAAUUUCAAAUUUCAAAAUAAAGAAUCAUCGAUAAAUAUACAAAAAAAAUAUCAAUUUUGGUAGUAACUUUUUAGAAAAAAAAUUAUACAAAUAAAUAUAUAUAUAUAUAAUAAUUAAUAAUUAAAAUGUUUUCUACAUCUUUUUAUUAGUAUUUAUAUUUUCGGCAAAUAUCCACAUGUCUCCUUAAAACUUUGGUAAUUGUAUCAAUUUAUAUUCUAUGAUAUAAAUUUAAACCCUAAACAAAUAAUUGUAUCAAUUACAACAUCAACCUUUGAUAAAUAUAUCAAUUUAAACCUUAAAUUUAAAAAUGUAUAACCCUCAAAAUAUAGAUGUCAACAUAGAUAUCAAUAUCUUAGUUAGCUAUAUAGAUAUACACAUCAAUGAUAACGUAUAUAUCGACAAAUGGACAAUAUUUAAAUACAAACCCUAAGGGGAAACAAGCUCCUGAGGUAAUCAAACCACCUUCAUCAGUCCUCUACAAACCAUCCAACAACUUUACUUCUAAAAUUAUAUAAUGUGGGAAAGAUGAGAAGCAAAUAUAACUAUUGCCUUAGCCUUAAUUACAAAGUAACUAAACUACCCCUGCUAAGAGGUCAGAAAAUUACACUAUAUUGUAUUUAUUUACUUCUAGACUAUAAGAAAAAAUGAUAAAAAGAAAAAAAUAUAUGAUCUGAAGCAUUUAAUUGCACUUACACAUGGGGGAAGAUUACAUACAUCUUUAACCAAACACUGUAGGAGAAGAAUAAGAUAACUUACUAAUUUCAUAUGAGAAGCUUCUUCUUCUUCUACUUUGACCAAAAAGCCAUCGGAGAGUGCAAAAGCAUUGAUCACUCCCCACUGUCUGAAAAUUCCAUCUAUAUUUUCAGCUACAUGAUUGGAGAAUCAAUUCUUUUAUUGCUGUUGAUCCUUUAUACUCUCUAAAGUGCACACAGAGAAGAGCAUGAAAAUUUUCCAUAUAAUUUAGUUGGAAGACUCAAAUGCUCCUACUUCAACCAGUAGGCUACUUGGCAGAGAGUCAGUUAAUCAACUUUUGUACAUCUACCAGUACCUUUUGUGGUUUUUUGUCUCCAUUAGAAGUGAGAAUAUCCACAUUAAUUGCAGCAUUGUGUUCGUUAGCAGCCUCGCCGUCGCUCUGAUAUGAGAAAAAAUGGAGAGUUUGAGAUCACAAAUUAAAUGCAUAUUGGACGAGAAGAGAGAACGGUCGGUUUUAGAUGGGAACCAGAAAAAAAUCUAAAGAAGUACAAAAUAAGUAAUUAACAGAAACCAGAAACAGUAGUGAAAUGCAUGAAAGUAUUGUACUCUUUCGAAUUAGCUGUUCUUGUUUAAUUAUUGAUUCUUUCGUAACUUAAUUUAAAUGUCUACCUGUUCAAUCUCUUUCGCAGAGGGUUCUUGAAUGCUAGGGUUUGAAACCUUGGAAAGAUCUCUCAAAAUUCCCUGUUGCAUUCAAAGUUCGCCAAUGAGAACAUCCAUUGACAUGUCAUGGAACAUUUAGUUUGCUACAAAAUACAUCUCUGCUAAUCACAAUUGAAUAGCUCAUAUGAAAACUUGUGGAAAAAAAACCGACAUAAUUUAUGAACUUUAUAAACUCGACUAUCUACUAAAUAAGGCAAAAGGUGGCGUGGUGGAACUCAAUAGUCAAGAACAAAGUUAAACAUCUAGAACCGAUUGCAUCCAGAUCUAUCUACUGCCUACAGCAAAAGAUUCCAGAAAUGGAAGAUACCGUCUCCAAAACAUGUUUUACUUUCACCACAAACCUUUCGAAAAAUGUACAUUAAAAACCACUUUUGGUUCUUGAAUUUAUGCAACGAAGAAUUAUGUUGCUGAACUUUAGUUUGUUUCUAUACUAUAAAGAUUAAGUGGUUAUGUAACCAAUAUUGACAACAAACCAUGUUUGACAAGAUUUUUCAUGAUAGAGAUCAAAUCACUAUAAAUUCAAAUUAAAUUUGAAGGUAUAGGGUCUAAACGGUUACAAAUUUGAAUAUAGGGAAUAAAUUAUUACAUGUGACAUUGCAAGGACUAAAUUACUAAAAAAUUGAAAGUAUAAGACUAAAUAAUUACAAAUCAAAAUUCAUGGAUUAAAUUGUUACUUUUAAGAAAAUUCAGGGACCAAAAGAGACUUUUAACCAAAUAUGUACAACUGAGGAUAUCAAUGUAGAAGUGGAGUCACGCAGAAAGUUUGAAUUCUACAACGAAAAGCAAUGCUGUCAAUUUUGAUACUCUAAAGGUCUAGUGCGUAUUAGUAUUCCUUCCCAAGUUCACAACCAAUAAAAAUAUAAGCAAAACUAAUCUGCAAAACUAACUUACAACCAUCAUCAACCAUGUGAAAGCAUCUUCUAGAUUGAAACCAUACGGCCAAGAUCGGGUAUUUUUGGUAAUUAAAUAUUAAACAAUAUACUUUCCCCCCAUCACUUUACCUCCAAAAGAUUAUGCUAAUUUCAGCCAAAGGAAAAGUCUAAAUCAUUUCAUGGAAGGUCUCUAAAUUUUAGAUUAAUAAACAAACCUUAUUGGCCCACUUGAGCCCACAUGCAUUGCACAGAGUCCUUGGACCAGCAGGUCCACGACGCAUCAUUGGAGUAGAUUUUGAACUGGUUCCACAAUGUGUACAUCUGCACAAACAAUAAUGGAGAACAAUAUUAGGAAAAGAUAUUACUGAAUUUACCGUUCCAGUAUGAAAGAGAACUGAGCACUUUUAUGUUCCAUCCAGCAUUCUAAUAUUCCAGUUAGAUGCAAGAACUGGCUAGGCAACUCAAGCAAAUAUAUUAUCAUCAUCGGGGAGAAAAGUGAAUGGGGAGAAAAGUGACAUCGAUGAUCCUCAAACUGCCAGCAGAGUCAUGUAAAGUUACAGAAUGGGACCUUGUAAGGAUCAAAUAGACUUACGAGGUCUCCAACAAGCCAUCAUCUUGUCCAGAAUCCAACGUCUGAGACAAAACUGAAGAUGAGCCCACUUCAUCUCCUAUAGCUUUAGAGGAUAUAAACUGUCCCUUCUUCCGCUGCAUUCUGAUGAGUCCAAACAAGAAAUGUUAGAACAAGUUCCGAGAAUAAAAGGAUCUUUCUCUCCUCUGAUUUGAGCAUUUGAUUAUAGCUAGUUUAACUUCUUUUAACUGACAUGCUGAGUACUACAGACAAUAAAAUGGGAAAAAUGCAAUAAAGUAAUUCAGCUAUACAUACUCUGGAUGAUUCAUAAAUAUGACAUUGAAUUGCAUACAACAGAAACAGCACUGAAUUAAUAAAAAUACAUUUUAAAGUUCACUAAGGCUAAGGCUCCGUUUUGGGAUUGUAGAUCUUUUUAAACAUUUGCUCUUAAAAAGAAGUUAUCAUAUGAAGCAUAUAUACUGUUUGGUAAAUUUCAAUUCUGAACUUUAAAAAAAGCAAGUGACAGUGUUUUGUAAAUUCAAAUUUCUGCCAUAUUGUUGUCAAGUAUUGUACGUUGCAAAAAUAAAGGGGUCUCACAAUCUAUAUAAGAUACAUGAGUUACUCCUCUCGUUGUUGAUUGAUUCAAAGUUCACAAUCUAUAAAUUAUUCUAAAAGAAACCCUUCCAAAAGGCAAAAGCUACCAAAACAAACCCUUCCAGCUAUACAUACUCUGUAAUGUUUUCUGCAAUACAUUACCGUAGUUACAAAUUCCUUUUCUUUUUCGUAAAGUAUUAGAAACAUAAUUUUCUUUUCACAAGAUCAAAUAAAGAUAAACCAUAAGCAAUUCCCAUCUUUUUUGUAAUUUCCUCUCAAUCAGCAGCUCUUAGUUUAUUUAAUUCAAGCAAAAGUUCUUCAAUAUUACGAGCAGACCAUUAACCAUCUAUAAAACCUCCAUGUUUCAUCAAUAAAACACCUACAUCAAAAACUUCAUUGGCCUCUCCUCAUCCUAAGGUCUAAACUUGACAUGCCACCUGCCUCGAAACCUAAAUUUUCUGAAAAUUCUUGACCCCAAUCAAGAAUGAGUGGUUCCAAGCAAGCGCAAUAUAACUACUACCCUGUCCCUCCUGUUUUCCAAUCGUUAAUUCUACUUGAUUGAUAUAUUGGUAGGCCCCAAUCACUAAGGUGUACGCUGGUAAACAAGGAAACGGUGAGACAUGUAGGUUGUUCUCAUAGUUCAUACUGGUUCGAGCAUAUUAGUUAGUUAGGGUGGGUGCCAUCCAGUACAGGGUAUCUUUUUGGUAAUUUUGUACUUGAUCUGAGUGAGAGUGGGAGAGGAAGGGAGCUAGCUCCCUUGACUUAACUUCUACAUUCUAACAUAUAAUUAAACUGGUAUCCGCUUUAGAAGUUAUACCUGAGGGCUACUUCUUUUCGCACACUGUAGCGAAUUUUCUUCUCAAAACACCUUUCUUUUCUCUUCUCUCUAAACCUACUCAAUGAAGCAGCUCUUUGUGGUUGAACCGACCUGACAGUAAAGCCAUCGGCACCCUGUAAGAAUUAGAACAAUAGUAAAUGUGGUAGGAAAUAAAAAACACCAGAUGGUUUAAGCCAAUAUUUGGAAGGUAGACCAUUCAAAUGAUAGUUUGCUAUUUAUACCUGUUGGUUGACGGGAGCACUUCCAAUUGCAGGAAUACCAGAAGGAAUUUCAUAUCCACCUAAAAGCAAAAGCACGGCUUGAACCUAUCAAAUGUAACCACGGAAAAACUUAAAAACUCCUUAUGUUCCUGUUUUUCUUUAGGAAAUAAGGAUUAUCAGGGGAUGAAAUGAAAAGGGACUAAUACUUGAAUUACAAAGAGAAUAUAACCAUAGGAAGAUGUGAACGACAAGGACUUGGAGGUGCACUCAAAUGCCAACCUCUCAUAUUUGUGUUCAUGUACUUGAAAAACACCACCUUUAGUAUAUGCUAUGGCAUUGUGGACUUUGCACCAAAGCAUUUCGAAAUCCAAUUUGAAACCGUAAUCUCAAGUUCAACUCGCACUAUCCGUUCAUUAACAUCAAAUUUCUUUCUUUUUUAAUCAUUUUUUAUAAGAAACAAAAUUUUCCAUUCAUCAUCCCAAAGUUCCAACAAUACAGCAACGCAAUACAGAAAAGUCCAUGUAGGAAACUUUGAAAGAAAAAAAAAAGACUGACAGUUCGACUUCUCUAAUAAUUCACAAAAUCCUUUUAACCGGUCCACAAUUUGAACAAAUUACGAAAAAAUCUAAAUUGUAAAAUAAAACGAACUUCAAG